GGUGGCUCAGUGGUAGAGUGCUUGCCUUGCAUGCAUGAGGUCCUGGGUUCGAUUCCUCAGAACCA
rnacentral:tRNA from 1 species